rnacentral:rRNA from 1 species
UACGUAGGGGGCUAGCGUUGUCCGGAAUCAUUGGGCGUAAAGCGCGUGUAGGCGGUUCGGUAAGUCCGCUGUGAAAGUCGGGGGCUCAACCCGUCGGAAUGCCGGUGGAUACUGUCGGACUAGAGUACGGAAGAGGCGAGUGGAAUUCCUGGUGGUAGCGGUGAAAAUGCGCAGAUAUCAGGAGGAACACCAAUUGCGAAGGCAGCUCGCUGGGACGUUACUGACGCUGAGACGCGAAAGCGUGGGGAGCAAAC